AUGAAGCUGGAUUCGCUAGUAAUCGCGCAUCAGCCACGGCGCGGUGAACACGUUCCCGGGCCUUGUACACACCGCCCGUCAAGCCAUGGAAGCCGGGAGUGCCUGAAGUGCGUGAGCGCAAGCAGCGCCCUAAGGUAAAACCGGUGACUGGGGCUAAGUCGUAACAAGGUAAC
rnacentral:rRNA from 1 species